AGUGAACGCUGGCGGCGUGCCUAAUACAUGCAAGUCGAACGAACGAAUAAGAGCUUGCUCUUAUAAGUUAGUGGCGCACGGGUGAGUAAUAUAUAGCUAAUCUGCCUCUUAGUAGAGGAUAACAGUCGGAAACGAUUGCUAAUACUCUAUACUUCUGCUUUACAUAAGUAAAGUAGAGAAAGUUUUUCGCUAAGAGAUGAGGCUAUACUGUAUCAGCUAGUUGGUAAGGUAACGGCUUACCAAGGCUAUGACGCAUAACUGGUCUGAGAGGAUGAUCAGUCACAUUGGAACUGAGACACGGUCCAAACUCCUACGGGAGACAGCAGUAGGGAAUAUUGCGCAAUGGGGGAAACCCUGACGCAGCAACGCCGCGUGGAGGAUGACACCUUUCGGAGCGUAAACUCCUUUUAUCGGGAAAGAAUAAUGACGGUACCCGAUGAAUAAGCACCGGCUAACUCCGUG
rnacentral:rRNA from 1 species